rnacentral:rRNA from 1 species
UACGUAGGGACCGAGCGUUGUCCGGAAUCAUUGGGCGUAAAGAGCGUGUAGGCGGCCUUUAAGUCCUACGUGAAAUCCUGCGGCUCAACCGCAGACGGUCGUGGGAAACUGGAAGGCUAGAGUGCGGGAGAGGAGAGUGGAAUUCCCGGUGUAGCGGUGAAAUGCGCAGAUAUCGGGAAGAACACCCGUGGCGAAGGCGGCCUCUCUGGAACGCAACUGACGCUGAGACGGCGAAAGCGUGGGGAGCAAACAGGG